AAAAAAAAAAAAAAAAAAAAAAAGGCCGUAAUGUUAAGUCAUUAUUUCUGCAUGUUGAUGCAGACACAUUGUGCGUUGCUGAAGCUCCCAUAGUGAAGUAAUUACACGCUGCUCUGAGAAAGGUAUCUGGAUCCAGUUCCUGGGAUACAUCUUUCAUCCACAGCAGAGCUCCUCUGUAUUCUGUGCGUGCCUGUUCCAUCCGA